rnacentral:sRNA from 1 species
ACAUCUGCUGAACUUCUGUACGGUGAA